UAACGCGUAGGAACCUGUCGCACAGAGGGGGAUAACGCUGGGAAACCGGCGCUAAUACCGCAUGUGGUUCUUGGAGGGGACUUCAAGAAAGAAAGCAGCAAUGCGCUGUGUGAGGGGCCUGCGUCCGAUUAGCUAGUUGGUGGGGUAACGGCCUACCAAGGCAUCGAUCGGUAGCUGGUCUGAGAGGACGGUCAGCCACACUGAGACUGAGAUACGGCCCAG
rnacentral:rRNA from 1 species